CACGUUUCCCUCGCAGAUCUCGCGAUUCGUAGAGCCAUAGGCGUCGUUGGACCAAAAAAACUCUUGUUCGUCGUGUUAAGGGUGGGAGGGGAGAUCGUGUAAGAAUAUCAAACGCAUUGACGUCUUACGCAGCACGGAAGGUAAUUAUUUCGGACGUACUUUGCCGCACGUCUGACCUCGAAAUUAGAAAUUUCGCACGGUUUGGACUGGCGUAGCUCGAAUUUACGUGCGCGACAGAGACAGUAUAGGAGUAAGAUAGCGCGAGACAGCGCGUGUGCGUGCAUACAAGAGAGAGGAAGAUAGAAAGAGAAAGAUAAAGAGAUGCACAGACGGAACAGAUAUUCGCGUGCAAUUCUGCCCCGAUUUGUCACAGGUAUCGGAGAAAGGAUCGGAAGGAGCUCAAUACCACGAGAAUCAUAUCGGAAUACGAAGGGGACCUCGAACGCGCGACACGUGCGACUUCGAAUUAGAAAAAGUAAACACGCGUUCGGCCAGGUGGCGCGGAAUGUCGUUGCUAUAUCGAUGUGCGGACUCCCGCGCGCAGGUGUUCUAAAAAAAAUUUAGUAAAACGUGGGGCACCGAUGACAGCUAAUGACAGUGGCAGCCAACGCGUCAAAGACCAUGUAAGAGAAACGUUAGAAAAUCAAAGAACUAGAAAAAUCGUUGCGUUGUACGUUUAGCUGCGAUCUCUUCGAUAAUUUCGCUCGCUCCAAAAUAUCAUUGCCCCUAACAAAGGGGUCAUUACGCGUCGCGAUGCUUAUCCCUCAAAAAGCAAGAAGCCACGUUCCCAUCGGCAUUUAAUUGACCCGAAUCCGGCGCUCGUGGCGCAGGAACGUUCACCGUUUUCAACGACUUACUCGCGGACAGACCGAGCCAAGGUUUCUCCGCGCGUUUUAACGAGUCCGCGAGUAAUUUUCUGUAAUAACCACGUGCACGCUGCCGCGAGUUAUGCGAUGCGCGCAUAAACAACAGCGAGGAGCGUCUUCAGAGGCGAACGCAGCGACUUUUCACUGGAGCAUUGCAUAAUUUUUCCGCGGUUGCGCAAUCAUCGGGGGCUGUUGCGCAAUCCUGUCACGCGGAGACGCACGAUGGAUCCAAGGAAUCGCGAUUUUCGGAACGAUCUUAUGAAUAUCCGUGGGUACGUGGUAUAGGUCGACCGAAUCGUAAAUCGCCAAGAUGCAAAUGAGCUAUAGAAAUGUUGGAUUAACGUGUAUUAAUAAACUUCGAAUAUUAUGUAUAUAUUUACACAGUAUGUCGGUUUUAAAUGUACACACGUGAUUAUCAUCGGAUAUACGAAAAAAUAUUCGAGAUGAAAGUUGUUUGACUUCACGAGGAAAGCUUCAUCAGAUAUUUCGACCUCUUUUACACUCUCAUUUAAAUAGAUUUCAAUAACGAUACAACUUUUUCAAAUGGAGCUACAUGUCUUUUAUGUAUCGUUGGAUGAAUUUCUGAAUUUUUCACAGAAAAGUAUGUAUCGAGAUACUUUCGUCGAAAAAAUGAUUAGUUUGAAAGAUAUGUUAGUUUUAAUCUCGCGGGACUUAUCGUAUGAAAAGCGAAGAAAGAUAACGCAGUGCCCUUGUAUUUACGUUUUGUUGAAAAGAACGAUGCCGACAAAAUGGUAUUAAGCGUCGUCUUUGCCAUUUUCAGUUGAUAACUCUAAAGGAUACCAAAGAAUUUUUUAAUAUUCGUAAUAGUAAAUUUUAUAGCGGAGAUACAAUGCGAUAAAAUAGGUACACACGAAGAAGAAUAUCUGCUAAAUGUAACAGUUUCUCUUUUCUUCAUUCUUUGAAUAGCAAUUUUAUCAAGAUAAAUAAAGUAUUUCGUAAUAAAAUUUUCCUCAUAGUUUUCUCUUAUUUAAGAAAUGUUACAUCUUCUUCGUUGGCAAUGACGCAAUAGAUGACAUCCAGAUUAUUAAAAUAUUUAUUUUGACUGUGCUACUUCCGAGGUACUUCCAGUGUACAGUAAGAAACACGAAGUAGUUCAUAUUUCGAAUAUUUAACAUCGUGAAUAUUAAAAAGGACGUGCAUAGCUCAACACGAAAGUUCGCCUGUGCACAAAGUUAAGGAUAGCUAAAAGAAAUAUGAUAUUUCCCUCAGAAUCCAUCUCAUUAACAAAGUUUGUUCACCUCGUGAGUAUUUAAAUCUUGGAAAUUUCUUCUUCAUAUUAUACGAACAUAUAUUAAGAUUAAAAGAUUCGAUAUAAAUUACGUAUUUAACUAAGAAGAUGACAUUGUACUACUAUUUUUGAAAUUCCACUGGAAAACUAGCAGUAAAAUUAUCUGCACUACUACGUAUGUAACGAAAGAAAAACAAAAGAACAGCACGGUAAACUUUGUUACACAAUCAAAUUUUUUCAAACACGAGAUACAACAAACCCAUUUGCGUGACCUGCUCCGCGGAAAAUUAAUAUCUUGUCAUCUCCGACAAAACCACGCUACUGUAACAUACGUACUAUUGUUGGCAAAUAAUAUUGUUACCAAAUUUUACAUUCACUGUAUUUUUGUACAAACUAUUCACGAGAUGUACCUAUUAAAUCGAACACUUUAAUUACGUCAUUAAUUUUUCAUUUUAACUGUCCUGUUUGAAAUCGAAGACAGGUUCCAGCUCAUUAUACCAUUACGUAUUAAUUAUAACUCGUGUAUUACAUAAUUAAACGCAUUCGAUGGAUUCGUUAGUGAACUUGAAAGCGACAAAACUUAUAUUAUAAAUUUAAGCUGAAACGAAUAAUGCUUGGCUUAGGAUAAAAAAAUUUCAACUGAAAGAACGAUUUUGUAACCAAAGCCCAUUUUACUCAGUGAUAAUAACUUACACACGAAUACGACUCUCAAAAUCAUGUUGUAACCAAAAAAACAACUUAUAAUUCAACAAGAUUAUGAGAGCUCUACACGAACCGAAUUUUCCCUAUCGUAAAUUGCCUAUCGAACGACAAAUUAAAUAAAUCACGCAUUUAAUGUUAGAAAUUAAGUUACGAUUCACCUUCGAUAUACAUAUAAAUGUAUUCGAUAGAUCUUUGAAAUUGAAUAAGAAUCAAAUUAUUAAUUCAGAAAUCACCUCAACCAACGUAUUCCCAAAUGAAAUUAGUCAAAAGAGCUCAGAACCAUAGGAAUUUUUUCCAAUUGUGUAUCGGUAUUAUCGAUUUCAGUAACUAUCUCACUCAUCGACAUCUAAAAAAAAAAAAAAAAAAAUAAUUCCAAUCGGAAAAUCAUCUCAAGCUCUAAAAACCACGAACUCUCCGAUCUUAGCCGUUAAGAUCUCGAAAGUUUAACACCAAAGGUAUUUCGUAAUCGCAACACAGCUGCUACCAAACGACAAAUUAAACCUGACCCUAUCUCGAGUACAUCCCUAAAGCGAUUCACGGUUUCCAGGCGCCUCUAAUCCUGAUAUAUCGAGGCCGCGAAGAAGCGAGCAUAAACGAGCGAGUUGCGCGUCAGGUCCGCUCGUUUCGAUCGUACCUACAAUUAUUUUUUUCCCGUUCCGCGCUGCGUGCCGGCAGAUAAUAAUUACUUCGGACGCGAGGCUCCGUGAUUCUUCGAGAAGUCGUCGCUUCGAACACACAACACGUGAACCAGACUUCGUUCGAUGCACGUACCUAUACGUAUACACUUAUAUACGUACGCCAUUGUGAACAGUGCGCACGUGUGUGAACGCUCAUUCCGCUAAUCUUGCGUAGGCACGCAUGUUGCUCGUGGUUGUCGGAAAUGCGACAUCGUCGACGUCGCUCGUCACGGAACAAGAAGGCCUUACGUGGCUGCGCCUGCAUAUACAUCGCCAGAGUGUGUAUAACAGUCGUUGCAUCAACACGGCCAUACUAUUAUACAGUAUGUAGUAAGUACAGGGUGCCUCGGUCGAAAUGACGCGAAUUAUUUUCUGGAGACUCUUUAGGAUGUUUGUUCAGGAGUUUCGUUCUUUUUUUCGUAUUUUUUUUUUUUUUUUUUUUUUUUUUAGUGAUGUAGAUUACGAGUUUUUACGAGUUUUUAUACUCUCGCGAAUUUAAGGAAUGGAACGUAGACAGAAAUCUUGUUUCGCUUAUUAAAUAUUAUAAUAAAUAUUUUACUUCUUGAA